rnacentral:rRNA from 1 species
AUGCGCGAAGAGAUCGCUCAUGUCGUGCCUGGUCGGGGGCAGGAGCCGACGCGUGCACGCUGCGGUGCGCUGGGUUGGGCUGCACGGACUGCCCCAGCUUGGCGCAUCAAUCUUUGGAUUCAGGGUUCAGUAGCACCUCGAGCCGAAUCUGGAUGCCGAUCUCGUCACGGUGUCGUGUCGCGCGGAGCAACACAAAGACUAGCACCCACUGAUCGCGCUGCCAUCCCUGCAGUUUGCGCCAACCCACAAGGCACUGACCCCUAUCCCCAGGCUGUAUAUAUCGACGUCCCGACUUCCACUCCACCACCCAGAACACACAGUUCCAUCCCAACCAAGUCUCCAAGUCCCCAACCAGAGAGGCAGAGAGCUAGCAGCAGCAGCAGCAGCAAGCGAACAAGUUCCAUAACUCGUCGGGGCAACGCAAGACAAGGCAGCAUGUGCAACGUCAUCACGAUCCCGUCGGUCGCCUGGCUGCGCCGCGCCGUGCGCCGGUGGCGCGCCCGCCGCUCCGCCUCCGCGCCGGUGCCGGCGGGGCACGUGGCGGUCUGCGCGGAGGGCGCGCGGUUCAUGGUGCGGCUGGCGCACCUCAGCCACCCGGCCUUCCUGGAGCUGCUCCGGCAGGCGGAGGAGGAGUACGGCUUCCGGUCCGGCGCCUCCGGCCCCGUCGCGCUCCCCUGCGACGAGGCCCGCCUCCGCGACGUCCUCCGCCGCGUCUCUUCCUCGUGCGACUCAGAGGAGCCGCGCCGCCCCUUCUGCCGCCGCCGUGGCGACUCGCGGCCGCUGCUGCAGGCGGUGGCCGUGGAGAAGCUCUUCUUGUGA